GGGGGUGUAGCUCAGUAGUAGAGCAUUUGCCUACCACGCAGGAGGCCCUGGGUUCCAUCCCCAGUACCACAA
rnacentral:tRNA from 1 species